rnacentral:rRNA from 1 species
GAUGAACGCUGGCGGCGUGCCUAAUACAUGCAAGUCGAGCGAACAGACGAGGAGCUUGCUCCUCUGACGUUAGCGGCGGACGGGUGAGUAACACGUGGAUAACCUACCUAUAAGACUGGGAUAACUUCGGGAAACCGGAGCUAAUACCGGAUAAUAUAUUGAACCGCAUGGUUCAAUAGUGAAAGACGGUUUUGCUGUCACUUAUAGAUGGAUCCGCGCCGCAUUAGCUAGUUGGUAAGGUAACGGCUUACCAAGGCAACGAUGCGUAGCCGACCUGAGAGGGUGAUCGGCCACGCUGGAACUGAGACACGGUCCAGACUCCUACGGGAGGCAGCAGUAGGGAAUCUUCCGCAAUGGGCGAAAGCCUGACGGAGCAACGCCGCGUGAGUGAUGAAGGUCUUCGGAUCGUAAAACUCUGUUAUUAGGGAAGAACAAAUGUGUAAGUAACUAUGCACGUCUUGACGGUACCUAAUCAGAAAGCAACGGCUAACUACGUG